UCUCCGUAGGUGAACCUGCGGAGGGAUCAUUACAGAGUUCAUGCCCUACCGGGUAGAUCUCCCACCCUAUGUUAUUAUUACUUUGUUGCUUUGGCGGGCCGUUAGGCUCCGGCCCGACUACCGGCCCCGGCUGGUAAGCGCCCGCCAGGGGACCCAAAACCCUGAAUAUUAGUGUCGUCUGAGUACUAUAUAAUAGUUAAAACUUUCAACAACGGAUCUCUUGGUUCCG
rnacentral:misc_RNA from 1 species